rnacentral:rRNA from 1 species
GAGUUUGAUCAUGGCUCAGGAUGAACGCUAGCGGCAGGCUUAACACAUGCAAGUCGAGGGCAGCGGGAUGUAGCAAUACAUUGCCGGCGACCGGCGCAAGGGUGCGUAACGCGUGAGCAAAUGCCCGUCACAGGAGGAUAAACCAUGGAAACGUGGCCUAAUACUCCAUAGUAUAUCAGAAGGCAUCUUUUUGAUAUUAAAGCUUCGGUGGUGACGGAUUGGCUCGCGUGACAUUAGCUAAUGGAGAGGUAACGGCUCACCAUGGCGACGAUGUCUAGGGGAACUGAGAGGUUAAUCCCCACACUGGUACUGAGACACGGACCAGACUCCUACGGGAGGCAGCAGUGAGGAAUAUUGGACAUGGAUGGAAAUCUGAUCCAGCCAUGCCGCGUGCAGGAUGACGGCCCUAUGGGUCUUAAAUGCUUUUGUAUGGGAGCAAUAAGUCUUACGUGUAAGAUGAUGAGAGUACCAUACGAAUAACAUCGGCUAACUCCGUGCCAGCAGCCGCGGUAAUACGGAGGAUGCAAGCGUUAUCCGGAUUAUUGGGUUUAAAGGGUGCGUAGGCGGUUUUGUAAGUCAGUGGUGAAAUCUCCGGGCUCACCCGGAACGUGCCAUUGAUACUGCAGGACUGGAAUGUGGAUGCCGUUUGCGGAAUGUGUGUGUAGCGGUGAAAUGCAUAGAUAUCACACAGAACACCGAUUGCGAACGCAGCAGACGAAUCAUGAUUGACGCUGAGGCACGAAAGUGUGGGGAUCAAACAGGAUUAGAUACCCUGGUAGUCACACAGUAAACGAUGAUGACUCGCUAUCGGCGAUAUACAGUCGGUGGUCAAGAGAAAUCAUAGUCAUCCACCUGGGGAGUACGACCGCAAGGUUGAAACUC